CUGGAGGUAUCAGAAGUGCGAAUGCUGACAUAAGUAACGAUAAAGCGGGUGAAAAGCCCGCUCGCCGGAAGACCAAGGGUUCCUGUCCAACGUUAAUCGGGGCAGGGUGAGUCGACCCCUAAGGCGAGGCCGAAAGGCGUAGUCGAUGGGAAACAGGUUAAUAUUCCUGUACUUGGUGUUACUGCGAAGGGGGGACGGAGAAGGCUAUGUUGGCCGGGCGACGGUUGUCCCGGUUUAAGCGUGUAGGCUGGUUUUCCAGGCAAAUCCGGAAAAUCAAGGCUGAGGCGUGAUGACGAGGCACUACGGUGCUGAAGCAACAAAUGCCCUGCUUCCAGGAAAAGCCUCUAAGCAUCAGGUAACAUCAAAUCGUACCCCAAACCGACACAGGUGGUCAGGUAGAGAAUACCAAGGCGCUUGAGAGAACUCGGGUGAAGGAACUAGGCAAAAUGGUGCCGUAACUUCGGGAGAAGGCACGCUGAUAUGUAGGUGAAGUCCCUCGCGGAUGGAGCUGAAAUCAGUCGAAGAUACCAGCUGGCUGCAACUGUUUAUUAAAAACACAGCACUGUGCAAACACGAAAGUGGACGUAUACGGUGUGACGCCUGCCCGGUGCCGGAAGGUUAAUUGAUGGGGUUAGCCGCAAGGCGAAGCUCUUGAUCGAAGCCCCGGUAAACGGCGGCCGUA
rnacentral:rRNA from 1 species